rnacentral:rRNA from 1 species
UACGUAGGGUGCUAGCGUUGUCCGGAUUUAUUGGGCGUAAAGAGCUCGUAGGCGGUCUGUCGCGUCGGCUGUGAAAACCCGGGGCUCAACCCCGGGCCUGCAGUCGAUACGGGCAGACUAGAGUGUGGUAGGGGAGACUGGAAUUCCUGGUGUAGCGGUGGAAUGCGCAGAUAUCAGGAGGAACACCGGUGGCGAAGGCGGGUCUCUGGGCCAUAACUGACGCUGAGGAGCGAAAGCGCGGGGAGCGAACAGG